UACGUAGGGGGCUAGCGUUGUCCGGAAUCAUUGGGCGUAAAGCGCGUGUAGGCGGCCCGGUAAGUCCGCUGUGAAAGUCGGGGGCUCAACCCUCGGAUGCCGGUGGAUACUGUCGGGCUCGAGUACGGAAGAGGCGAGUGGAAUUCCCGGUGUAGCGGUGAAAUGCGCAGAUAUCAGGAGGAACACCGAUUGCGAAGGCAGCUCGCUGGGACGUUACUGACGCUGAGACGCGAAAGCGUGGGGAGCAAACAGG
rnacentral:rRNA from 1 species